rnacentral:rRNA from 1 species
CCUACGGGAGGCAGCAGUGGGGGAUAUUGGACAAUGGGGGGAACCCUGAUCCAGCGACGCCGCGUGAGUGAAGAAGUAUCUCGGUAUGUAAAGCUCUAUCAGCAGGGACGAAGAAAUGACGGUACCUGAGUAAGUAACCCCGGCUAACUACGUGCCAGCAGCCGCGGUAAUACGUAGGGGGCCAGCGUUAUCCGGAAUUAGUGGGUGUAAAGGGAGCGUAGACGGUGGUGUAAGUCUGGAGUGAAAGGCUGGGGCUCAACCCCCGGACUGCUCUUGAUACUAUGUGACUGGAGUGCAGGAGAGGUGAGCGGAAUUCCUGGUGUAGCGGUGAAAUGCGUAGAUAUUAGGAGGAACACCAGUGGCGAAGGCGGCUUACUGGACUGUAACUGACGUUGAGGCUCGAAAGCGUGGGGAGCAAACAGGAUUAGAUACCCUUGUAGUC